rnacentral:rRNA from 1 species
CAGGUACAGAGGGAUGCUACCGGGCGACCGGAUGCGGAUCUCGAAAGCCUGUCCCAGUUCGGACUGGAGUCUGCAACCCGACUCCACGAAGUUGGAUUCGCUAGUAAUCGCGCAUCAGCCAUGGCGCGGUGAAUACGUUCCCGGGCCUUGUACACACCGCCCGUCAAGCCAUGGGAGCCGGGGGGCGCCUGAAGUCCGGGACCGCGAGGACCGGCCUAGGGCGAAACUGGUAACUGGGGCUAAGUCGUAACAAGGUAGC